CCCAUAUAUCACAUAAAUUCUUGAGAAAAUCUUCUUUGCAUAUUAAAUUGAUGCUUCUUUUCUUUGUAAUGAAGCAGUUGAGAAGGUAUAGAGACCAGCAUUGCAUUUGGCAAGCCCAAGACUCUGCUUUUUUAUUCUCCAUUUCGAAUUCUCUGAGACCUUUUGUCAUCAAAUAGCAAUGAUAUUCGACUCUGUUUUCAGUUUUCUUGCACACAAACUCGCUAUAGA
rnacentral:lncRNA from 1 species